rnacentral:piRNA from 1 species
UGAGUUUGUAGAUAUCUGUAUU